UCAACCUUGGGUAAUAAAUCAACUAGCUUGUGUUACUUAUGUUGACCUAGCUACAACUACAUGCUUAGCCAUGCUUAAUUACCACUAGCUCAAUUGAUGGGAUAAUUACAGUAUUAGACCUCUUAGUAUCCAGACGAGCUGCGUGAUCGGAACAUCCGGCCAUGUUUCUUUGGUCAUAAUUAUCCUACUAAAAUGCAACAUAAUGGUGGGCUGUGGGUGCAUGGUUUUGCUAGUCGCACCCAUGGUAGGACCGGUUCGCGGGAAACCCUGGAAGACAUACCACGCUUGCCACAAGCGGGAAUGGGUAAACUACUUGAUCUGUAGUAUAGCUUUCCUCUAGCUGACAUUUCCAAGCUAGGGUGGGUGUGAUGGAGUAUGGAUGGGCCCUACGACAGCCUUUGCUGCUUCCGAAUUCACCGUGGCAUGAGGGGGGGCUGCCCGCUGCCUGCUGGGGGCGGAGGUGAAACCUGCGGUGUGAUGUGAUUGGUCAGAUGGGGUUAUAUGAAGGAUCUUGUCACAAUCACUCGACAUGGUGACAUGUCAUGCAUGGCACGGUGACAUGAGUGGAUUGUGUCUUAUGGGUACAGUUGUGCACCUCUAGCUAGAGUAAAACUAUUCGAAUAGCCGUGCCCGCGGUUAUGGGCGAUCGACCAGAUUCACCGUGAUUAGUCUCACCCUAAUAAAUCGACCCAAUGCACUGUGUAGUUCAGGUGGGAUGGUUGGGCCUGUUCAACGUGGCAUAGCGUUGAUCAGUGAAGAUCGAAUAUUACCUUAAUUAAUCAAUUGUUUUACUAUUUUCCAACUGUAAAUGCUUUACAACCACCUUUAUGCAAAUAGCCACAAACCUUCCUUGAGUCCCCUUGCGCGCCUGCAUCAAUGGUGUGGCUUGUUAAGUACGGUGGUUAUACUUAGCCUUGAUGUUAUUCCUCAUUUUCAAAAGUGUAGUACUUCUGAGCUGAAGACGAAGUUAGAGGACCAAGGCACAUACCCAGUUGAGUUUUGCCUGUGGAGUAGAGCUGAAGCCCCGCUAGGAUCGCCUUUUUCGCUUCUAUCGUUCUCUUUCGAUCAUCAGGUCGGUUUUAAGGAAGAGGAGAGACCGGAUCACUCUUUGUGGUCACCAUGCACCUAGAUAGUUGCGCCAUAUGAGUACUCGGCUUCUGAAGAAGGGAGCAAAUGAGUAGCAAGCGAAACAAUCAAAUGUGGCAUCGAUGUUCUUUGUUGUGCGUCUAUAUCGGGUACAUUUGUUUCAUUGGAUAUUAAUACUAUUUGCUAAAUAACUGAUGAUAUUACAUGACGAAAGUUUGUUGCAUUUAUUUUCAUGUAGGCACUUCUAUGUGCAAGACCAUGCACUACACGAUAAGCACCAUAUGGAAAAACUGAGGACGGUUUUCUAUGAAGAAGAGGAGGAUGAUGUGACCUGGCUACCAUAGGUAUAACAAUUGUUCACUUCAGGGAUCAAGAAGAAUACAUCAAGAUCAAGCCGUCCAAGUGAUGGAAUCAAAUUCGGCUACCUGCUACCGUGCUGACUUCAAACGACUGUCAAAUAUGUAUACAAGCUCUGUUUUGGUUCUGUGAGUAUUUGAUGGAUAGCUCUUAUCGGAGUCCUCUUUCCAACGGAUCUAGCCUCAUCGCCAAAUUCCAUCUCAGUCAUCCGCAAUCAAAGAAACAUGGUGCUAAAAUACCUGUCGUGGGCCUUUGGAUUUGUAACUUCAUUUAGGACCCCGGCCCAUGUGGGGUGAGCCCCAUCCUGGUGGAGCACGACCCUAGGGACCCUUUGGUCGUCCCCUCAUCUCCUUAAAUAGCCAUGUAUCCCUUCAGAGUGUCUAGAGUUUGUUUAGAUUAAAGUUUA